rnacentral:rRNA from 1 species
AUUGAACGCUGGCGGCAGGCCUAACACAUGCAAGUCGAACGGUAACAGGAAGAAGCUUGCUUCUUUGCUGACGAGUGGCGGACGGGUGAGUAAUGUCUGGGAAACUGCCUGAUGGAGGGGGAUAACUACUGGAAACGGUAGCUAAUACCGCAUAACGCCGCAAAACCAAAGAGGGGGACCUUCGGGCCUCUUGCCAUCGGAUGUGCCCAGAUGGGAUUAGCUAGUAGGUGGGGUAACGGCUCACCUAGGCGACGAUCCCUAGCUGGUCUGAGAGGAUGACCAGCCACACUGGAACUGAGACACGGUCCAGACUCCUACGGGAGGCAGCAGUGGGGAAUAUUGCACAAUGGGCGCAAGCCUGAUGCAGCCAUGCCGCGUGUAUGAAGAAGGCCUUCGGGUUGUAAAGUACUUUCAGCGGGGAGGAAGGGAGUAAAGUUAAUACCUUUGCUCAUUGACGUUACCCGCAGAAGAAGCACCGGCUAACUCCGUG